GCCAUUUAAAGUGGUCCGGGAGCUGGGUUUAGAACGUCGUGAGACAGUUCGGUCCCUAUCUGCCGUGGGCGCUGGAGAACUGAGGGGGGCUGCUCCUAGUACGAGAGGACCGGAGUGGACGCAUCACUGGUGUUCGGGUUGUCAUGCCAAUGGCACUGCCCGGUAGCUAAAUGCGGAAGAGAUAAGUGCUGAAAGCAUCUAAGCACGAAACUUGCCCCGAGAUGAGUUCUCCCUGAGACUUAGAGUCUCCUGAAGGAACGUUGAAGACGACGACGUUGAUAGGCCGGGUGUGUAAGCGCAGCGAUGCGUUGAGCUAACCGGUACUAAUGAACCGUGAGGCUUAACCUUACAACGCCGAAG
rnacentral:rRNA from 1 species